rnacentral:tRNA from 1 species
GGAUGGGUGGCAGAGCGGCUUAAUGCACCGCCUUGGAAAGGCGACGAAGGAAAUUUCCUUCCGCGAGUUCGAAUCUCGCCCCAUCCGCCA